rnacentral:rRNA from 1 species
GAUGAACGCUGGCGGCGUGCCUAAUACAUGCAAGUCGAGCGAACAGACGAGGAGCUUGCUCCUCUGACGUUAGCGGCGGACGGGUGAGUAACACGUGGAUAACCUACCUAUAAGACUGGGAUAACUUCGGGAAACCGGAGCUAAUACCGGAUAAUAUAUUGAACCGCAUGGUUCAAUAGUGAAAGACGGUUUUGCUGUCACUUAUAGAUGGAUCCGCGCCGCAUUAGCUAGUUGGUAAGGUAACGGCUUACCAAGGCAACGAUGCGUAGCCGACCUGAGAGGGUGAUCGGCCACACUGGAACUGAGACACCGUCCAGACUCCUACGGGAGGCAGCAGUAGGGAAUCUUCCGCAAUGGGCGAAAGCCUGACGGAGCAACGCCGCGUGAGUGAUGAAGGUCUUCGGAUCGUAAAACUCUGUUAUUAGGGAAGAACAGAUGUGUAAGUAACUAUGCACGUCUUGACGGUACCUAAUCAGAAAGCCACGGCUAACUACGUG